rnacentral:rRNA from 1 species
GGAUGAACGCUGGCGGCGUGCUUAACACAUGCAAGUCGAACGGGAAACCUUUUAAUGAAGCUUCGGCAGAUUUAGCUGGUUUCUAGUGGCGGACGGGUGAGUAACGCGUGGGUAACCUGCCCUAUACAGGGGGAUAACAACCAGAAAUGGUUGCUAAUACCGCAUAAGCGCACAGGACCGCAUGGUCCGGUGUGAAAAACUCCGGUGGUAUAGGAUGGACCCGCGUUGGAUUAGCCAGUUGGCAGGGUAACGGCCUACCAAAGCGACGAUCCAUAGCCGGCCUGAGAGGGUGAACGGCCACAUUGGGACUGAGACACGGCCCAGACUCCUACGGGAGGCAGCAGUGGGGAAUAUUGCACAAUGGGGGAAACCCUGAUGCAGCGACGCCGCGUGAAGGAAGAAGUAUCUCGGUAUGUAAACUUCUAUCAGCAG